AGUGAACGCUGGCGGUAGGCCUAACACAUGCAAGUCGAACGGCAGCACAGUAAGAGCUUGCUCUUACGGGUGGCGAGUGGCGGACGGGUGAGGAAUACAUCGGAAUCUACUUUUUCGUGGGGGAUAACGUAGGGAAACUUACGCUAAUACCGCAUACGACCUACGGGUGAAAGCAGGGGAUCUUCGGACCUUGCGCGAUUGAAUGAGCCGAGGUCGGAUUAGCUAGUUGGCGGGGUAAAGGCCCACCAAGGCGACGAUCCGUAGCUGGUCUGAGAGGAUGAUCAGCCACACUGGAACUGAGACACGGUCCAGACUCCUACGGGAGGCAGCAGUGGGGAAUAUUGGACAAUGGGCGCAAGCCUGAUCCAGCCAUACCGCGUGGGUGAAGAAGGCCUUCGGGUUGUAAAGCCCUUUUGUUGGGAAAGAAAUCCAGCCGGCUAAUACCUGGUUGGGAUGACGGUACCCAAAGAAUAAGCACCGGCUAACUUCGUGCCAGCCGCCGCCGUAACAC
rnacentral:rRNA from 1 species